GGGAAGGAGCGUGUUGAAGAAGACCCUUCUCGUUUCACAAGCUCCUUUGGCUGGGGACAGAGGACUGGUGCUGCAUACGAGAGUGAGCGUUGCUAAGGGAACAGGGAGAAAAAGCAGUCCUUCCCUCCUGCGGUUACACUAUAAGCCAAGCGGUCAGCUUUGCACCCUUCAAAAGUGAUGUAUCUGAGAAGACUGAGCUACGCCUUUCUUGUGAUGAAAAUAUUUCUAUGGAUCUGCAUUCAAAUUCAUAAACUGAAAAGAAAGCCUGCUUUCACUGAAGAGUCUCCUGAUGCAGAACAUAGAGGAAUGGUGUAUGUUGCUAUUAAUACUUUCAGUGAGUAAUUCAUGGUUA